rnacentral:lncRNA from 10 species
CUUGUAUUCCAGUGUAUGACAAUCUUCAGCAUAGCAGAAAAUUUAUUAAAGUUUUAUCAAAAGUGUAAAUUUGGUGUGGGUAGCAAGAAGAAGGAUUUUGUUGGAGUAGAAUAAUGCCACAGCCUAUGUGCAUUUCAUCCACUUCUCCUCUUGCUCCAAGCCAACCUGUGGACUCCCUCAUGAUACCAGUUCUGUUGUGGUGUCUUGUAAAGUUACUCAUGAUCUCCUCCUGGUAUUCAUGUGGCUCCUUCACAAAUAUUUUAUUCCCACAUCCCUGUUGAAGAAAAUGAUAGCGUUUGAUAUAUUUAUUUCCUCAUCUCUUUUUCUCUGCCUUACAUUAGAUAAGUACUCUGAAAAGACAAGUUGGAAGAAGUUAGAGUUUUAGGGUUGAGGACACAGGUUUUGGGGUCUGUGUUAGGGUAAUGCAAGAAUAUGCUGUGGCGGCAACAAAAACAACAACAACAACAACAAGAACAGCAACAAAACCAGAAAAUCUCUGGAGUGUUAGGGGAUUAACAUAACAAAGGUUUGUUUCUUGCUUUCAGAAAGUCUAAUGCACAUCUCGUGAUUCCUCACAGUAACCCUCUUCCACAUGGUGUCUCAUGGAUUCAGGCUCUGUAUUUGAAGACUGUACCAUCUCAACUCAUGGCUUUGAGAGUUACUGCUUUUAAAUGCCUCAGCUCAGAAAAGGCACACACAUCAUUGUAAUUUGCUCCUUGUUUUGCUCUCACCUACUGGGCACAUGACCUCAGUCUAAGUGCAUGGAGGCUGGAAGAUGCAGGGUAGCACACAGAAUAUUUGAAUAAGAGUGCCCUGGAAGCAUGAGGAAGGAAGCAAUUAAUUUGGCCCAGGAGAGCUGCAAAAAGUUCCAUAGAAACCAUGAUACUGGAGCAGAGUUUUGAUCAAUGAGUACUUUCCCAGAACUUGGGUUGGAAGGAGGGCAAUCUAAGAAGAAAAAGGCUGAUGCAAAGGCUCAGAGGCAUGGUUUGCAUAUCCAUCAUAGUUCAUGACUGACAAUCUAGAGGUUGGAGCUAACAUUGAAAAACAUAUUGAUUAUUAUGGGACCAAGUGUUUCCCAAAUUAGGAUCUUCUGAUUCAAAGACCUACUACAUCCUAGACAGGGCUCCAGGUGUUAG